rnacentral:tRNA from 6 species
UAGCUCAGCUGGGAGAGCAUCUGCCUUACAAGCAGAGGGUCGGCGGUUCGAUCCC